rnacentral:lncRNA from 1 species
UGAACAAACGAUCCAUGAGACUGGGAUUCAGAAUCCAGUGUCGCUCAGCUGCUAGUAUUGAUCGUCCUAGCCAUCAGAAUCAGAGUGUAGCUCAGCUGAUUCUACUAUACUCUACUCUAGGUGUGAUUGUUCACUGAAAUCGAAUGAACGUCACCAAUGGGGCUAUUGUUGAUGUAAUUGGUGUCUGAAUUAUUAGUAGCAUCAAUAUAAAUUUAGUUUUAGUUAUUACCACUGUUAAUAGAAGAUUUGUUUUACCUUCUCUGUGGAUUUCUUCAGUACUAAGCAAACGGCCAACGAUUGACUUGUUAGUGACAUUGAUAAAUUUCUGAAGAAGGCUACAAUUCCAAUCGACAAUGCAAACGGAAAUUCGUUCUCCGAUGAAGCCCCCUGCCCCGCCGAGGAGCGACCGAUGUCGAGGAGAGGGAUGGUUUGUCUCCCAAGGCACAUUCAUCAGUAGGGCUGGACUAACGAGCAGCUCGGCUCGUUAAGCUCAUACUCGUUAAGCUCGUGCUCGUUAAGGCUCGGCUCGUUAAGCUCGUUAAGAUUAACGAGCAGAAAACCCUGCUCGGCUCGGCUCGUUUGAAGCUCGUUAAGUUCGUGAGCGCUCGCGAGCGCUCGUUAAUAAAUUAUAAUGUGUUAUGAUAUACGUGAUGAAUGUGUAGGUAUGGUUUUCAAGAUGAAAUAUGGUGACUACAAAAAGAAAUAAAGUAGUUUGUUGCCUCAUAUGUCGAUUAGAUUAAAUAGAUAGGCCGAGAUGCUACAAAAAGUUUGUCACGUAAUAUGAAAAUAUGUGUUGUGUUGUUACUAACGAGCUUAACGAGCUACUCGUGAAACUCGUUAGCUCGCUCGUUAAGCUCGUUAAGCUUAACGAGCUAAAAUCAAUGAUUGGCUCUGUUCAUUAAGAAGCGAGCUAUGAGCUUAGCGAGCCGAACUAUCGAGCGCUCAUUAAGCUCGCGAGCUACGAGCUUUUGGUCCAGCCCUAUUCAUCAGCAUCGAACAAGACGGUGUUAGAACCUUAUAUCAAGAUUGAAAAAUAAAACAGCCAACUGUAGAUUUCUGAGAAAAGAGCUACUCCCUCUGUUCCAUAUUACUCGUCGUUGAUUUAGUACAACUGGAACGGAGGGAGUAAUAAUUUUCUGUACAUAUUUAUCACGUGGUGCUGGAAGUCCUGGGGGUAUAGUUAAAAGCCGAAGUUAUUGUAAUAGUAUGGCACUUUUGUUGUCCAGAAAUUGAAUAGUUUUGGAAGUUAGUUCCUUUUAUCCACUUUGAGUUCCUCUUGAGCUUGAGCUCUUUGAGGCUUGCUUGGUUCAUUGUCCCCUAUUGUUAAAAAAAUAAACUCUGGAGGAAAACAGGCAUAACUUUCAUCGUAUUUUCAGCGACAUAAACCUGAGCGAUUUUGAAUCUGAUUUGUUGCUCUGAUAGAAUUAUCGGCGUCCAAAAUCCAGCUGCUAACAGAGACUUCUUGUCCAUCCAGCAUGUUCAGGAGCUGUUGCUUGUAUUGCAUCGCUCAUUUUUCAGAACAAACAAGAGAAAUUUCCAGCUGGAGUAUUUAUUUCCUUUAAUGCCACAUGUGCGAGUUAUGCAUGAUUAGGGCCUACAGUCCAUAUUCUUGAUGUAAUUGGUGUCUGAAUUAUUAGCAUCAACAAUAUUAAUUUCGUUGUUACUAUAUUACUACUAUUAAUAGAAGAUUUGUUUUACCUUCUCUGUGGAUUUCUUCAGUACUGAGCAACAGGCCAAUGAUUGACUUGUCGGUGACAUUGAUAAAUUUCUGAAGAAGCUACUAUUCCAAUCGAGAUUGCAAACAGAAAUUCGUCCUCCAAUGAAGCCCCCUGCUCCGCUGAGG